ACAUACAGGCAGAGGGAGAAGCAUGCUCCCUGCAAGGAGCCUGACGUGGAACUAGAUCCCAGAUCCUGGGAUCAUGCCCUGAGCCGAAGGCAGACAUGCAACCGCUGAGCCACUCAGGCAUCCCAAAGCAUUCUAAAAUUCUGUGGAACCAGGCUCAUUUGUUCAUCCAAAUCAGUUACCACUCUAAUUAAAAUUGUUUUGCUCUUCAUGUAUCUUAGUCAUCAGUUAAUUAAAUGACCAUAGCCUCACAGGAGGGGGUAUCAUGUGACCACUGAAAUUUUGUUAAUAAAAACUUAAUAGCCUGAAAAAUAUUUACCAUACAGUCUUUUAAAAACAUGGAAAUAAAAUUGUAAAUAGGGUGAUUUCAAACUAUGGAAAACAGUGUAAACAUCAACUGUUUCAAAAUUAGAAGGAAAUACACUGACGUUGCAAUGGUAGGUUUCUCUGGGUCGCAGUUGUCUGAUUUUUAAAAAAUUAAUUUCUUCAUAGGCUUCUGUGUUCGGCAAUUUGUGUAAAAUGAGUAUAUAUGUUUAUAAUUACACACAUAGAAAAUAUAUAUUGCUAAGAACCAACCUAAAAAAUACCAAGGUGAGUAUCACAACUUGUCCUUGGUAAAAUUAGUUUUGCUUACAGUAGGGAAGGCAGUCCAGUCACAGACUGGGACACUCUCAUUGGAAAUAAUUGAAUCUUAUUAUCAAGAGUGCUUCAUGAAACGCUUACGAUUUACCUUGAUCAACCGUUCAAAUAGGUUUCUACUUCAAGAAUUACCUUAAAGUCUUACAUAAUGCAGGACUUGGUUGACCUUUUAUAUAGGAUUAAAGCACCGUAUAAUUAACUUCUUUAUAUACAGAGUUGAAACUUAAUGAAAACAUGAGGUGAAAAGCCAAGACUUAAUUUGCAGAGUGACUCCUUUCCUAUUUCACAUCAUGAACAGCUAAGUCUUAGUUUGGGGCUCUCUUUCUCUCAGGCACUUUGAUUCUGACCAGGCCAACACUUGCUAAAUGCAUCCAGGUACCUCAUUCAGAAAGAGCACAGAAAGAAGUAGGAAUGGUAGAGCCCAAGGAGAAAGGGUAAGUAUGAGCUCUGAGGCAUAGCAAGCUCCUUACCGCUCUGACUCAAGAAUCAGACCAACCUAAACUCACAUCUUAGUUCUAAACUUAACCAGAGUGUAUUGUAGGAAAAGUACUCAGUCAUUAAGCCCCAGUGACCUUGGGACACCUGGGUGGCUCAGUGGUUGCGAGUCUGCCUUUUGCUCAGGUAAAGAUCUCUGGGGUCCUGGGAUUGAGUCCUGCAUUAGGCUCCCCGCAGGGAGCCUGCUUCUCCCUCUGACUAUGUCUUUCUCUCUCUUUAUCUCUCUCUCUUGCUCUGUGUCUCUCAUAAAUAAAUCUUAAAAAAAAAAAAAAAAAAAAAAAACAACCCAGUGACCUUAACUUUAAAAUGGGAAUAAAAAUAACUGUAUCUCACAGAGUUUUCUGGAAGAUUGAAUGAAGACAGUAUGCAUAAAUCUUAAAUGACAUAUUUUAAAGAAGACAGUAAAUAUUUACUGUUAAUGCACUGAGGACUCUUUGUGCAUGGUCCCUUUUUAUGCUUCCAGCUUUAGAUCACACUAUUAUCCCUCCCAUCUCCCUCUCAGUCCAAGUCACAUUGAAAUAAUUGGCAUUUCUUGAACAUCUUACUAUUUUUUGCUUACAGCCAAAGCUAUUGUUUUUCUCCAAAAUCCAAUCUCUUCUGCUUCCAUAGUAAUAGAAUUUUCACUUGACACAGGGCUUCAAGGAACAUAUACUACAAAUCCCAGCCUCCUUUGCAGCUAAAUGCCACCAGGUUUUGGGAAAUGAGAUGUAAGAGAGUGAUAGGGUGAUUUCUCAGAAUAUUCUUUACAAGAGAGUUAGAGUGUGCCCUUUGUACACUAUUUCUUUCUUUUUAAAAAAAUCCUGCUGUCUAAAUACAGAUGCCAAUUUGGACCAAGAGAAUGAGGGUCAUGCCCAGAGAUAGUAGAGAAGCGAGUUAGAAAAAAAGCCUGGAUACCUAAGGACUCUGACAAUUCUGAAACUAUAUUUAAUAUAAACAUCUCUCUAGCUUAAACCACUAUUAUUUGAAGUCUUCCUGCACAUAUAGACAAAUCUAAUCCUACAAAUAGUACCAAACUCUUUAUAUAUGCUAAUGGUAUGUAUAUCCUAUUUCCUUAACCCAUUUUUUUUUUCAUAGAUUUCUACUACUUUCCACGGAGAUGUAGCCCAGAUAGUUCCUCCUCCAGGAUUCCUUCUUAAAUCCUAUAGGCUAGAUAUCAUCUCUAUUAUAGCAAUUAUCACUUUGUGUAUUUUGGUGAUUACUUUUCUUGUUUGUUUCCCUGUUUACACUGUAAGGUCCUUGGGAGCUAGGAGUUUUAUUUCUUCCUUAAUUACACAUGCUCUGUAGAGAGGCCAACCCAGGUAGGCACAUGAAAACUGUUGAAUGGAUGAAAAGUGGAUGAGUGAAUGAUUGGAAUAAUUGGAAGGAAAGAAAAGGAAAAUAAAGGAAAAAGAAUCUAUGAGAAUUUCUCUGUUACUAGUCAGCCAGCAUCCUCAUAUCACUCGAUAUUUUUCCUCAUCUGCUCAUCCCCUCCCCCAGCAGUAGAAAGGAGCUGCUUCAACACUGAGUAACAAUUGCCUUCAGAGUUCCUUAGUCACAUCAGAAUGCCCUCCUCCAAGGUUCACCGUAAAUUCCUAUUGAUUUUUCUAAACAGAAAUCUCAUUCACUGAUGUGACUGCAAAGGAAAGUAGGAAGAACAGUGUGAAAUCCAUUCCCUACCUAAAUCUUCAUUACCUUCUGCUGUUCUUGUUCCAAGAUGAUUCAAUUACAUAUUAUGUUCUCAAGUUCUUUUUUUUUAACCUUAGGGCUGCUUAUGAAAAAUUAAACUAGUUACAUAAAAGAGAUUAUAUUGCUGUUCUUCCACAUCUAAGGAAAAAAAAUGAAUCAUCAGAAACUAGAAUAGACCAAUACAAGUUAUUUUGAUUUAAAUUUCAGAUUAGUUCACUGGUGGGGUUUAUGUGCUAGUAUAUUGCUACUACAAAUUUUCCUGAAAUAUCAAUACAAAAUGUGAUUAGAUCUUUUUUCAAGGUCUUAUUUCCUCCAAUCUACAGAAUAUAAAUUGCUUUCUAAAGACUCUCUUUACCUUACCAAAUAAUCCAUAUUGCUUAAAUUUUUGUAUGUGGUAAACAUAGCCCUGGCAGUAUUAUCACAACUCAGACAUGUUUAAAUUCAGAUUCAAUUGGCUCCAAUUAUAGUGACUUCAGCCAAUCGAAAAAGGAUUUUAAUAUGAAACAUAUAUUUUCAAUGGUUCAGAGGAUUUUAGAUUUUAAACUCUGCUUUCUCAGUUAGCUUCUUUAAGUGAUAUGAGAGUAGGUAAGGGGAAGAGAAGCUCACUUUGAUUAUAACAUAAUUCAAACUAAACUUUUGGUAACAAUGAUUUACAAAGCCCCCAAGCAGUUUGAACUAUUAGUAUUAACUCUUCAUAGGUCAGGUCUCAAUCUAUUUGUACAGUUUUAUAUUUUGGGGACUUCCUAAAGUCAUUCAGGUCAACCUACCAAUUUUUUUUUUUUUUUGAGUACUUGUCAGAUGCCAGUCACUGGCAGAUAGUUGGGGCAGCUGCCUCAGGCAAACACAGUGCAGUUCAGUGGACACUUAGAGUAGUUUGUCAACUUACUAAGAGAAAAAAAAAAAACAGAGUUCAAUGAGCAAUAUGGAAACAGCAACUAGCUCAGUCUUGGCUGAACAAAAGCAUCCUUUACAGAAGAUCUGACGUCUAUGUUGAAGUUAUAAAGACACAGUGUGAUUAGUCAAGGAAAAUGGUGAAGGGGAAAAGUGUCACAUAUAGGAGAAGAGUUCAGCAGAGGAGCGAUGAGGUAAAAGAGGCAAGGGCUGGCUAAGUUACCUACCAUCUCUUCCAUUUCAUAAAUUUGAAUCUGGAUCAGUUUAGCACAGGCCUCCUGCUGACUGAGGAGCAAGAAUCAUUUUUCAUCCCAUCCUGAGAAAGAUGUAGAGUGGGGAGGCACAGAGACUCUGGAGGCAGGCCACCGGGGUUUGAAUCACAGCUGUCAUACUUCAGCAUUUAUUCACCUGUUCCUUAUUUACUCAGGAAUCAUCUAUUGAGUGUUCACUAUGCUUCAAGGAUUGUUCAAGUACAUGGAAUACAACAGUGAACACAACCGACAAAACUCCUGCCCUUGUGGAGGGUAUUUUCUAGUAGGGGCAGAUCAGCAAUAUUGAUGAGCAGAGAAGGUAUUUGGUACUUGAGAUCAGGAUAUAACUGCGAGUGCAGUGGAGGGGCUAAGGUUAUAAUCUUGAGUAAAAUGGUUAGGGUGGGCUUCCAUGAGGAGGUGACAUUGGAGAAAAGACUAGAAGGAGAUAACGGGAUUAAUCACGCAAAGGCUUGAAGCUAAAACUCUGC
rnacentral:lncRNA from 1 species